rnacentral:rRNA from 1 species
AUGACCACUCCCACUCGGACUCACCACGACCUGACGAGACGACUGUCGCGCCCUGCUUCGAGCACGCCACCCCCCCUGCUUUUCAUUUCAGUUUUCGGCGCAGAGCGGUUCGCUCACGCCCCACGCGCCCAAGCCCAACCCACCGCCGUCCUCCCUCACAAUCCCCCCGUCUCCCAACCCAAAACCCUCGUUUCAUCCGCGGCGAUUCCCCAUCUCCUCUGCGUGCCGCCGGGGAGCGCUCGAUUCCGGCCGUCGUUGGGCCUGCUUGAUCUUCCGCAUAGCACAUAUGUGAGCCAGUUAGCUGGUGCUUGCAUCACGAAAUGA